rnacentral:rRNA from 1 species
CUACGGGUCGCUCCAGUGGGGAAUAUUGGACAAUGGGGGAAACCCUGAUCCAGCAAUGCCGCGUGUGUGAAGAAGGCCUGCGGGUUGUAAAGCACUUUCGGUUGGGAGGACUGCUUCUAGCACUAAUAUUGUUGGAAGUUGACGUUACCUUCAGAAGAAGCACCGGCUAACUCCGUGCCAGUAGCCGCGGUAAUACGGCGGGUGCAAGCGUAAUCGGAAUUACUGGGCGUAAAGCGCGCGUAGGCGGCUAGAUCAGUCGGGUGUGAAAGCCCCGGGCUUAACCUGGGAACUGCAUCCGAUACUGUCUAGCUUGAGUACAGGAGAGGAGAGUGGAAUUCCACAUGUAGCGGUGAAAUGCGUAGAUAUGUGGAGGAACACCAAUGGCGAAGGCAGCUCUCUGGCCUGAUACUGACGCUGAGGUGCGAAAGCGUGGGGAGCAAACAGGAUUAGAUACCCCCGUAGUC